rnacentral:rRNA from 1 species
CAUGCAAGUCGAACGGGAAAUGCUUUAUUGAAACUUCGGUGGAUUUAAUUUAUUUCUAGUGGCGGACGGGUGAGUAACGCGUGGGUAACCUGCCUUAUACUGGGGGAUAACAGCCAGAAAUGACUGCUAAUACCGCAUAAGCGCACAGAACCGCAUGGUUCGGUGUGAAAAACUCCGGUGGUAUAAGAUGGACCCGCGUUGGAUUAGCUAGUUGGCAGGGCAGCGGCCUACCAAGGCGACGAUCCAUAGCCGGCCUGAGAGGGUGAACGGCCACAUUGGGACUGAGACACGGCCCAGACUCCUACGGGAGGCAGCAGUGGGGAAUAUUGCACAAUGGGGGAAACCCUGAUGCAGCGACGCCGCGUGAAGGAAGAAGUAUCUCGGUAUGUAAACUUCUAUCAGCAGGGAAGAUAAUGACGGUACCUGACUAAGAAGCCCCGGCUAACUACGUGCCAGCAGCCGCGGUAAUACGUAGGGGGCAAGCGUUAUCCGGAUUUACUGGGUGUAAAGGGAGCGUAGACGGCGCAGCAAGUCUGAUGUGAAAGGCAGGGGCUUAACCCCUGGACUGCAUUGGAAACUGUUGUGCUUGAGUGCCGGAGGGGUAAGCGGAAUUCCUAGUGUAGCGGUGAAAUGCGUAGAUAUUAGGAGGAACACCAGUGGCGAAGGCGGCUUACUGGACGGUAACUGACGUUGAGGCUCGAAAGCGUGGGG